CCUACUGGAGGCAGCAGUGAGGAAUAUUGGUCAAUGGCCGCAGGACUGAACCAGACAAGUCGCGCGAGGGAUGAAGGUCCUCUGGAUUGUAAAACUCUUUUGUCAGGGAGCAACGGGAGCCACGUGUGUCGUUUUGCGAGUACCUGAAGAAAAAACAUCGUGUAACUCCGUACCAGCAGCCGCGUUACUACGGAGGAUGCGAGCGUUAUCCGGAUUUAUUGGGUUUAAAGGGUGCAUAGGCGGAAUGUGAAGGCAGCGGUAAAAUUUCGGGGCUCAACCCCGCCGUGCCGUUGAAACUGGCAGUCUUGAGUGGGCGAGAAGUAUGCGGAAUGCGUGGUGUAGCGGUGAAAUGCAUAGAUAUCACGCAGAACUCCGAUUGCGAAGGCAGCAUACCGGCGCUCAACUGACGCUGAGGCACGAAAGCGUGGGUAUCGAACAGGAGUAGAUACCCCAGUAGUC
rnacentral:rRNA from 1 species